GCUCCGGUGGCCUAAUGGUUAAAGCAUCCGCCUCUGAUGCGGGAGGUCGUGGGUUCUAUCCCCGGUCGAGUCA